UUCGCAAUGCCCGAAAGGGUGACGAAGCGACGCCGCGUGCGGGAAGAAGGCCUUCGGGUUGUAAACCGCUGUCGGGAGUUAAGAAAUGCAAGGGCGUUAAUAGCGUUCUUGCUUGACUAAGGCUCCGGAGGAAGCCACGGCUAACUCUGUGCCAGCAGCCGCGGUAAUACAGAGGCGGCAAGCGUUGUUCGGAAUUAUUGGGCGUAAAGAGCACGUAGGCGGCUGUGUAAGUCGGUUGUGAAAGCCUUCCGCUUAACGGAAGAACGGCAUCCGAUACUGCAUGGCUUGAGUGUGGGAGGGGAGAGUGGAACUUCUGGUGGAGCGGUGAAAUGCGUAGAUAUCAGAAGGAACACCGGCGGCGAAGGCGACUCUCUGGUCCAUAACUGACGCUGAGUGUGCGAAAGCUAGGGGAGCAAACGGGAUUAGAUACCCCGGUAGUCCUAGCCGUAAACGAUGGGCACUAAGUAGAGGGGUUUU
rnacentral:rRNA from 1 species